rnacentral:tRNA from 1 species
GGAGAGUUGGCUGAGUGGCCGAAAGCGCCUCACUGCUAACGAGGUAGGGGCUUUAAAACCCCUCGAGGGUUCGAAUCCCUCACUCUCCG